rnacentral:rRNA from 1 species
AGUGAACGCUGGCGGUAGGCCUAACACAUACAAGUCGAACGGCAGCACAGUAAGAGCUUGCUCUUACGGGUGGCGAGUGGCGGACGGGUGAGGAAUACAUCGGAAUCUACUUUUUCGUGGGGGAUAACGUAGGGAAACUUACGCUAAUACCGCAUACGACCUACGGGUGAAAGCAGGGGAUCUUCGGACCUUACGCGAUUGAAUGAGCCGAUGUCGGAUUAGCUAGUUGGCGGGGUAAAGGCCCACCAAGGCGACGAUCCGUAGCUGGUCUGAGAGGAUGAUCAGCCACACUGGAACUGAGACACGGUCCAGACUCCUACGGGAGGCAGCAGUGGGGAAUAUUGGACAAAGGGCGCAAGCCUGAUCCAGCCAUACCGCGUGGGUGAAGAAGGCCUUCGGGUUGUAAAGCCCUUUUGUUGGGAAAGAAAAGCAGCAGGUUAAUACCCCGCUGUUCUGACGGUACCCAAAGAAUAAGCACCGGCUAACUUCGUG